GUCCCCAUAGUUCAAUCGGAUAGAACGGCUCUCUCCUAAGGAGCAAAUCCAGGUUCGAUUCCUGGUGGGGACA
rnacentral:tRNA from 1 species